AGUAAAUAGAUACCCGGGUAGUCCACGCCGUAAACGAUGUCGACUUGGAGGUUGUGCCCUUGAGGCGCGGCUUCCGGAGCUAAACGCGUUAAAGUCGACCGCCUGGGGAGUACGGCCGCAAGGUUAAAACUCAAAUGAAUUGACGGGGCCCGCACAAGCGGUGGAGCAUGUGGUUUAAUUCGAUGCAACGCGAAGAACCUUACCUACUCUUGACAUCCAGAGAACUUAGCAGAGAUGCUUUGGUGCCUUCGGGUAACUCUGAGACAGGUGCUGCAUGGCUGUCGUCAGCUCGUGUUGUGAAAUGUUGGGUUAAGUCCCGCAACGAGCGCAACCCUUAUCCUUUGUUGCCAGCGGUUAGGCCGGGAACUCAAAGGAGACUGCCAGUGAUAAACUGGAGGAAGGUGGGGAUGACGUCAAGUCAUCAUGGCCCUUACGAGUAGGGCUACACACGUGCUACAAUGGCGCAUACAAAGAGAAGCGACCUCGCGAGAGCAAGC
rnacentral:rRNA from 1 species